rnacentral:rRNA from 1 species
ACUCCUACGGGAGGCAGCAGUGGGGAAUAUUGCACAAUGGGCGCAAGCCUGAUGCAGCCAUGCCGCGUGUAUGAAGAAGGCCUUCGGGUUGUAAAGUACUUUCAGCAGUGAGGAAGGUGGGAGUCGUUAAUAGCGGCCUCAUUUUGACGUUAGCUGCAGAAGAAGCACCGGCUAACUCCGUGCCAGCAGCCGCGGUAAUACGGAGGGUGCGAGCGUUAAUCGGAAUUACUGGGCGUAAAGCGCAUGCAGGUGGUUUGUUAAGUCAGAUGUGAAAGCCCGGGGCUCAACCUCGGAAUUGCAUUUGAAACUGGCAGACUAGAGUACUGUAGAGGGGGGUAGAAUUUCAGGUGUAGCGGUGAAAUGCGUAGAGAUCUGAAGGAAUACCGGUGGCGAAGGCGGCCCCCUGGACAGAUACUGACACUCAGAUGCGAAAGCGUGGGGAGCAAACAGGAUUAGAUACCCUGGUAGCUACGAGU